AGCAGGGGCGUCCGCGCAAGCGGGCUGAGAUUAGGCUGUGUCGCCUUGACCCUUUUAACCUGAUACGGUUCACACCGACGUAGGAAGCUUAUUAUU
rnacentral:ncRNA from 1 species